AGCGAACGCUGGCGGCAGGCCUAACACAUGCAAGUCGAACGGAUCCUUCGGGAUUAGUGGCGGACGGGUGAGUAACACGUGGGAACGUGCCCUUUGGUUCGGAACAACUCAGGGAAACUUGAGCUAAUACCGGAUGUGCCCUUCGGGGGAAAGAUUUAUCGCCAUUGGAGCGGCCCGCGUCUGAUUAGCUAGUUGGUGAGGUAACGGCCCACCAAGGCGACGAUCAGUAGCUGGUCUGAGAGGAUGAUCAGCCACACUGGGACUGAGACACGGCCCAGGCUCCUACGGGAAGCAGCAGUGGGGAAUCUUGCGCAAUGGGCGAAAGCCUGACGCAGCCAUGCCGCGUGAAUGAUGAGGGUCUUAGGAUUGUAAAAUUCUUUCAGCGGGGACGAUAAUGACGGUACCCGCAGAAGAAGCUCCGGCUAACUUCGUG
rnacentral:rRNA from 1 species